UGCUUUCCAACAGUCUUGAAGGAGUUCCCACAUAUGCUGAGCACUUGUUGGCUGCUUUUCCUUCAUUCUGUGGUCCAACUCAUCCCAAACCAUCUCAAUUGGGUAGAUGUCGGCGGAUUGUGGAGGCCAGGUCAUCUGAUGCAGCACUCCAUCACCCUCCUUGGUCAAUAUUUUGACUGUCGGAUGGUUUUCUGAAGGACAACAAAAAUGCAGCUCAGAGACUGUUGGAUGGUGUGAACUACAUCUCCCAGAGCGUGUCAGAGCUCAGUGUGAAACCUGCCAAAGCUGUCACUUCCUGGCUCAUCGACCAGAUCGCCCCGGGCUGCUGGAAACCCAACUCCCUCAUCCUGUGAGGUGUUCCAGGACAACGAUACUAAGCACCACUGCCGUGCCUGUGGAGAGGGUUUCUGUGACGGCUGCUCCACCAAGAACCGUCCUGUUCCUACGAGGGGCUGGGGGCUCGCCCCCGUACGGGUCUGUGAUGCCUGCUUCCUGAACCGGAGCAUCUCAGAAGAGCUGCUGGAGGAGGAGGAAGGAGGGACACUCAGUAGGAGAGGCUGUUCAGAAUACACUGGGAGCUGUGGUCACCGCUACAUACAUCACUCUGGCAGCUCUCUGGUCGGAGGGUUACAGUAACGGUGCUUCUCAGCAUCAAAGUUGAACCCUGGCAACUCUGGAGAUGGAAGGAAGGAACUAAGGAGGGGAGGAAAAAAGGAAAAAAGGACAUGCAAGGAGAGGACAAGGAGAGGACAAGGAGAGGACAAGGAGAGGACAAGUCAGGGUAUAACUGACCUGGAGCAGCAGAGCUGGAGGAUAAUGAAGACGAAGAGACGGCAGCAUCAGAACGAGGCCUACUCUCUGAAGUCCUGUCUCUGAACGAGGGGCCUGCACCACUGAUGCCAUUUAACCAGGCAAGUCAGUUAAGAACACAUUUUUAUUUACAAUGACGGCCGUGGGUUAACUGCCUUGUUCAGUGGCAGAACAACAGAUUUUUUACGUUGUCAGCUCGGUUGAUUUGAUCUAUUUGACAAAACAAGCAGGUAUAGUAUAGAAAAUCAUUGCACCAUCUAAAACCACUGUGGAAUAUUUUUUUGAAAACCAUAAAAAUUAUAUUUUCAGAUGUUUGAAGCUGAUCUACUAAACCGAGAGUAAAAUACAAAAAAAAAAAAAAAGAAACUUAAGCACAGGAAGCAUAGAAAUAGCGCACAUAGAACAGAUCUACUACUUCUUAUACUUGCUUUCGAUGAGAAUGACAGAUCUAUAACUCACAUUUCUAUGUGAAUUUUGUCAGGUCCCCCCCUUUAAUAAAAUGGUGUUAUCCGUGUGUUAAUAAGAGAUUGCGACGUUGAUCAAAUAUAUUAUUGAACAUGCUGGUUACACCUGCAUCGCUUGCUGUUUGUGGUUUUAGGCUGGGUUUCUGUACAGCACUUUGUGACAUCGGUUGAUGUAAGAAGGGCUUUAUAAAUACAUUUGAUUUGAUUGGAGGAGCUUGACACAAAGUUCCUCUACCUGCUACAAUGCUGCGUCCAUGUGACCAAUGUUAAACACCCGCCAGCCAAACCUCAUUGGUUUAUCGCCUGACAAUAACGGCCCUCUUUGCGGCUUUACGAUUGGACGCGUGUCCUUUCA